UGGGGAAUUUUGGACAAUGGACGCAAGUCUGAUCCAGCCAUGCCGCGUGCGGGAAGAAGGCCUUCGGGUUGUAAACCGCUUUUGUCAGGGAAGGAAAGGGUGUUUCUAAUACAGACGCCUCAUGACGGUACCUGAAGAAUAAGCACCGGCUAACUACGUGCCAGCAGCCGCGGUAAUACGUAGGGGGCGAGCGUUGUCCGGAAUUACUGGGCGUAAAGGGUGCGUAGGUGGCCUUUUAAGUUGGAUGUGAAAUCCCCGGGCUCAACCUGGGAACUGCCUUUGUGACUGCAUAGCUAGAGUACGGUAGAGGGGGAUGGAAUUCCGCGUGUAGCAGUGAAAUGCGUAGAUAUGCGGAGGAACACCGAUGGCGAAGGCAAUCCCCUGGACCUGUACUGACGCUCAUGCACGAAAGCGUGGGGAGCAAACA
rnacentral:rRNA from 1 species